UGGGGAAUAUUGGACAAUGGGGGCAACCCUGAUCCAGCAAUGCCGCGUGUGUGAAGAAGGUCUUCGGAUUGUAAAGCACUUUCGACGGGGACGAUGAUGACGGUACCCGUAGAAGAAGCCCCGGCUAACUUCGUGCCAGCAGCCGCGGUAAUACGAAGGGGGCUAGCGUUGCUCGGAAUGACUGGGCGUAAAGGGCGUGUGGGCGGUUUACACAGUCAGAUGUGAAAUCCCCGGGCUUAACCUGGGAGCUGCAUUUGAUACGUGUAGACUAGAGUGUGAGAGAGGGUUGUGGAAUUCCCAGUGUAGAGGUGAAAUUCGUAGAUAUUGGGAAGAACACCGGUGGCGAAGGCGGCAACCUGGCUCAUGACUGACGCUGAGGCGCGAAAGCGUGGGGAGC
rnacentral:rRNA from 1 species